UUUUUUUAAAUCUACAAGGGUGUCUUUUACGUGUAAGAGAUAUGGCUCUCUCUUAACACGGGUCAGCCAUUUAUCGUCCCCUUCUGAUGGACUAUCAUCCUUUCCUCAAGACCAUACUCGCAAAUGGUGUCAAGAGAGAGCCGAAAAUUCAGUCCCUGAAAUUUUAAUCACGGAACAGGAAUCAAACCAGGAACCUUUGUGUUAGUGGUC
rnacentral:lncRNA from 1 species